CCUACGGGGGGCAGCAGUCGAGAAUCAUUCACAAUGGGGGAAACCCUGAUGGUGCGACGCCGCGUGGGGGAAUGAAGGUCUUCGGAUUGUAAACCCCUGUCAUGUGGGAGCAAAUUAAAAAGAUAGUACCACAAGAGGAAGAGACGGCUAACUCUGUGCCAGCAGCCGCGGUAAUACAGAGGUCUCAAGCGUUGUUCGGAAUCACUGGGCGUAAGGCGGGCGUAGGCUGUUUCGUAAGUCGUGUGUGAAAGGCGCGGGCUCAACCCGCGGACGGCACAUGAUACUGCGAGACUAGAGUAAUGGAGGGGGAACCGGAAUUCUCGGUGUAGCAGUGAAAUGCGUAGAUAUCGAGAGGAACACUCGUGGCGAAGGCGGGUUCCUGGACAUUAACUGACGCUGAGGCACGAAGGCCAGGGGAGCGAAAGGGAUUAGAUACCCGGGUAGUC
rnacentral:rRNA from 1 species